rnacentral:rRNA from 1 species
CGGCAGGCUUACACAUGCAAGUCGAGGGGUAUUUCGGAUUUAUUCGGGAGAGACCGGCGCACGGGUGCGUAACGCGUAUGCAAUCUACCUUUUACAGAGGGAUAGCCCAGAGAAAUUUGGAUUAAUACCUCAUAGUAUUAUGAAAUGGCAUCAUUUUAUAAUUAAAGUCACAACGGUAAAAGAUGAGCAUGCGUCCCAUUAGUUAGUUGGUAAGGUAACGGCUUACCAAGACAAUGAUGGGUAGGGGUCCUGAGAGGGAGAUCCCCCACACUGGUACUGAGACACGGACCAGACUCCUACGGGAGGCAGCAGUGAGGAAUAUUGGACAAUGGGCGCAAGCCUGAUCCAGCCAUGCCGCGUGCAGGAAGACGGUCCUAUGGAUUGUAAACUGCUUUUGUACAGGAAGAAACAUCCCGACGUGUCGGGACUUGACGGUACUGUAAGAAUAAGGAUCGGCUAACUCCGUGCCAGCAGCCGCGGUAAUACGGAGGAUCCAAGCGUUAUCCGGAAUCAUUGGGUUUAAAGGGUCCGUAGGCGGUUUAAUAAGUCAGUGGUGAAAUCUGGUCGCUCAACGAUCAAACGGCCAUUGAUACUGUUAAACUUGAAUUAUAAGGAAGUAACUAGAAUAUGUAGUGUAGCGGUGAAAUGCUUAGAUAUUACAUGGAAUACCAAUUGCGAAGGCAGGUUACUACUUAUGGAUUGACGCUGAUGGACGAAAGCGUGGGGAGCGAACAGGAUUAGAUACCCUGGUAGUCCACGCCGUAAACGAUGGAUACUAGCUGUUGGGAGCAAUCUCAGUGGCUAAGCGAAAGUGAUAAGUAUCCCACCUGGGGAGUACGUUCGCAAGAAUGAAACUCAAAUGAAUUGACGG